rnacentral:rRNA from 1 species
GAACCGUACAAACGUUAUUCGGAAUCACUGGGCUUAAAGGGUGCGUAGGCGGCCAUGUAAGUGAGGUGUGAAAUCCCUCGGCUCAACCGAGGAACUGCGCUUCAUACUGCAUGGCUUGAGGGAGACAGGGGUAAGCGGAACUGAUGGUGGAGCGGUGAAAUGCGUUGAUAUCAUCAGGAACACCGGUGGCGAAAGCGGCUUACUGGGUCUCUUCUGACGCUGAGGUACGAAAGCUAGGGGAGCGAACGGGAUUAGAUACCCCGGUAGUCCUAGCUGUAAACGAUGAGCACUUGUCUGGGGAUCCUCCCAUAGGUUCCCGGACGAAGCGAAAGUGUUAAGUGCUCCGCCUGGGGAGUAUGGUCGCAAGGCUGAA